CCUACGGGAGGCUGCAGUAGGGAAUAUUGCACAAUGGGGGAAACCCUGAAGCAGCAACGCCGCGUGGAGGAUGAAGGUUUUCGGAUUGUAAACCCCUUUUGUUAGAGAAGAAAAUGACGGUAUCUAACGAAUAAGCACCGGCUAACUCCGUGCCAGCAGCCGCGGUAAUACGGAGGGUGCAAGCGUUACCCGGAAUCACUGGGCGUAAGGAGCGCGUAGGCGGGAUAGCAAGUCAGAUGUGAAAGCCUAUGGCUUAACCAUAGAACUGCAUUUGAAACUGUGAUUCUAGAGUAUGGGAGAGGUAGGUGGAAUUCUUGGUGUAGGGGUAAAAUCCGUAGAGAUCAAGAGGAAUACUCAUUGCGAAGGCGACCUGCUAGAACAUAACUGACGCUGAUGCGCGAAAGCGUGGGGAGCAAACAGGAUUAGAUACCCCUGUAGUC
rnacentral:rRNA from 1 species